UACGAAGGGUGCAAACGUUGCUCGGAAUUAUUGGGCGUAAAGCGCACGUAGGCGGCUUAGCAAGUCGGAAGUGAAAUCCCUCGGCUCAACCAAGGAAGUGCUUUCGAAACUGCUGAGCUUGAGUACUUAAGAGGAUCGCGGAAUUCCCGGUGUAGAGGUGAAAUUCGUAGAUAUCGGGAGGAACACCAGUGGCGAAGGCGGCGAUCUGGGCCUUACCUGACGCUGAGGAGCGAAAGCGUGGGGAGCGAACAGG
rnacentral:rRNA from 1 species